rnacentral:lncRNA from 1 species
GUGAGCUCUUCCGAUUCCUGUGAGAUUCACACACUAGUUUUCUCACGCAAUUGACUAGGUGGCAGUGUAAGGUGUCUAAUAGAAAUAGUGAUAGGAACUACCACAGUUCUCGAAGUGGCUGACACC